rnacentral:rRNA from 1 species
CGUCAUCGUAGGGUUAGUCGGGACCUAAGUCGAGUCCGAAAGGGGUAGACGAUGGCAAAUUGAUUAAUAUUUCAAUACCAACAUAUAAGCGCGAUGUGGGGACGCAUAGAGUUAAUCGAGCUCACUGAUGGAAUAGUGGGUCGAAGGAUGUAGGUUGUAUCUUAGGCAAAUCCGGGAUACAUGAGACCGAGAUCUUACAGGCUCUUGACGCUCUUCGGAGAUGAUAGAGAAUCGAUGAUACUGUCGUGCCAAGAAAAGCCACUAAGUAUAUUAUUUGUUGCCCGUACCGUAAACCGACACAGGUGGGUGGGAUGAGUAUUCUAAGGCGCGUGGAAGAACCCUGGUUAAGGAACUCUGUAAACUAGCACCGUAUCUUCGGUAUAAGGUGUGCCUACUAUUGUAUAUGGACUUGCUCCAAAAAGCGAUAGAGGUUGCAACAAAGAGUCCCUCCCGACUGUUUAC